UCAGUGUGGUAUAGGGGUUUGAGUGUUGGACUAUGACUCUGGAGAUCAGGGUUCGAAUUCCAGCCAUUGAA
rnacentral:tRNA from 1 species